GGCUCCACCAACAUCCCGCUAAGAACUCUUCACCCUCAAGUGCACUGAGGGGAACCCCAGUGAAGGCCAAUGAGGGAAACCACACAUCACUGAGGGCCGACGGAGGCCCCCAAAGCUCAGAUCGCUGUGCUCGCCAGUAGGUAAGCAUCCCCUGUGAAGAAAGCCUACCUUCUCUCUCCCUCCCCAGAUCCCCAUAUCCAGACAGAGUGAGGAAAUGCAUAAAAACAAAACACAAAACACACUCCUUCCCCAGGUCCCCAGACACCCUUAACACAGCUAUCUGCAGGAUUGAAUGAUUGCUGGGACCACACAAUUUACACUUGGCUCUCGUGGUCCGGAGGGGAGGACUGCGCCAGCAUGAGAAGACCAGAGAGCAAGUAAAUGGAAAUUUGGCGAGAUCCUGUGGCUGCUGUUGGUGGCUGCAGCCAGACAGGAAAACUGAGAUGGUGUGAGCAGAAAGGGCUGGAAGGAGUUGGCUUUUUCCAAGAAAUUACAGCGGAAUCUUCUUCCAAGAGGCUGGGGGCCUCUGCAGACAUGAUCUCAUUACUUACCCCCCAAAUCCCCCAGCUUCCCUACGGACCAAGGACCAGGGGUCUCUGCCCAGUCCUAGCUCCAAGGAAACUCACACUUGGCAGAUUUUCCUAAUCGGAGCUGGCCUUGAAGUUUGCUCACUGAUAAUCACCAGAAAGUCACCCCAACAAUGGGUGAUGCCAGAGUGUCCUCAAGCUUCAAGGGUCCGUAAAAACACUUGACUCCCCCAGGACAAAAAUGACUGGGGGAAACAUGCAGUUCUUCAAAGAGAACGGUUUCAUUCUG
rnacentral:lncRNA from 1 species